GGUUAAGUUAAUAAGGGCGCACGGUGGAUGCCUUGGCACUAGAAGACGAUGAAGGACGGGACUAACUCCGAUAUGCUUUGGGGAGCUGUAAGUAAGCUAUGAUCCAGAGAUUUCCGAAUGGGGAAACCCGGCAGCUUUUAUAGGCUGUCAUCAUAUACUGAAUACAUAGGUAUAUGAGGUGAGACGCAGAGAACUGAAACAUCUAAGUACCUGCAGGAAGAGAAAGAAAAUUCGAUUCCCUGAGUAGCGGCGAGCGAAACGGGAAGAGCCCAAACCAAAGAGCUUGCUCUUUGGGGUUGUAGGACUCAGUUGUGGUAGCUGUAAUUGUUAGUCGAAUCGACCUGGAAAGGUCAGCCGUAGCGGGUAAAAGCCCCGUAGGCGAAAAUGAUUGCACACCUAUGAGUAUCCUGAGUACGGCGGAACACGAGAAAUUCCGUCGGAAUCCGCGGGGACCAUCCCGCAAGGCUAAAUACUCUCUAGUGACCGAUAGUGAACCAGUACCGUGAGGGAAAGGUGAAAAGCACCCCGGAAGGGGAGUGAAAUAGAUCCUGAAACCGUGUGCCUACAACAAGUCAAAGCCCGUUAAUGGGUGAUGGCGUGCCUUUUGUAGAAUGAACCGGCGAGUUACGAUAGCGUGCGAGGUUAAGCUGAAUAGGCGGAGCCGUAGCGAAAGCGAGUCUGAAUAGGGCGCUUGAGUACGUUGUCGUAGACCCGAAACCAUGUGAUCUACCCAUGGCCAGGUUGAAGGUGUGGUAAAACGCACUGGAGGACCGAACCCACGUACGUUGAAAAGUGCGGGGAUGAGCUGUGGGUAGCGGAGAAAUUCCAAACGAACUUGGAGAUAGCUGGUUCUCUCCGAAAUAGCUUUAGGGCUAGCCUCGGAUGAAGAAUGAUGGAGGUAGAGCCACUGUUUGGACUAGGGGCCCAUCUCGGGUUACCGAAUUCAGAUAAACUCCGAAUGCCAUUCAUUUAUAUCCGGGAGUCAGACUGCGAGUGAUAAGAUCCGUAGUCGAAAGGGAAACAGCCCAGACCACCAGCUAAGGUCCCAAAAUAUAUGUUAAGUGGAAAAGGAUGUGGGGUUGCACAGACAACUAGGAUGUUGGCUUAGAAGCAGCCACCAUUUAAAGAGUGCGUAAUAGCUCACUAGUCGAGUGACCCUGCGCCGAAAAUGUACCGGGGCUAAACAUAUUACCGAAGCUGUGGAGUGUACCUUGUGUACACUGGUAGGAGAGCGUUCUAAGGGCGUUGAAGGUAGAUCGUGAGGACUACUGGAGCGCUUAGAAGUGAGAAUGCCGGUAUGAGUAGCGAAAGACGGGUGAGAAUCCCGUCCACCGUAUGACUAAGGUUUCCUGGGGAAGGCUCGUCCUCCCAGGGUUAGUCGGGACCUAAGCCGAGGCCGAUAGGCGUAGGCGAUGGACAACAGGUUGAUAUUCCUGUACCAGUUUCAUUUGUUUGACCAAUGGAGGGACGCAGUAGGUUAGGAAAUCCGCACGAUUGGAAGUGUGCGGCCAAGCAGUGAGUCUGAUGGUGNNNNNNNNNNNNNNNNNNNNNNNNNNNNNNNNNNNNNNNNNNNNNNNNNNNNNNNNNNNNNNNNNNNNNNNNNNNNNNNNNNNNNNNNNNNNNNNGGUGAGUUAAAUGCUUACGAUCAUUAAGGACAAGCUGUGAUGGGGAGGGAAAUUAAAGUACCGAAGUUUCUGACAUCACACUGCCAAGAAAAGCUUCUAGGAAGAAUGACACUGCCCGUACCGCAAACCGACACAGGUAGUCGAGGAGAGCAUCCUAAGGUGAGCGAGCGAACUCUCGUUAAGGAACUCGGCAAAAUGACCCCGUAACUUCGGGAGAAGGGGUGCUGACCGCAAGGUCAGCCGCAGUGAAUAGGCCCAAGCGACUGUUUAUCAAAAACACAGGUCUCUGCAAAAUCGAAAGAUGACGUAUAGGGGCUGACGCCUGCCCGGUGCUGGAAGGUUAAGAGGAUGGGUUAGCGUAAGCGAAGCUCAAAAUUGAAGCCCCAGUAAACGGCGGCCGUAACUAUAACGGUCCUAAGGUAGCGAAAUUCCUUGUCGGGUAAGUUCCGACCCGCACGAAAGGCGUAACGAUUUGGGCACUGUCUCAACGAGAGACUCGGUGAAAUUUUAGUACCUGUGAAGAUGCAGGUUACCCGCGACAGGACGGAAAGACCCCAUGGAGCUUUACUGUAAUUUGAUAUUGAAUGUUUGUGACACAUGUACAGGAUAGGUAGGAGCCGUAGAGGCCGGUACGCUAGUAUCGGUGGAGGCAUUGGUGGGAUACUACCCUUGUGUUAUGACCAUUCUAACCCGCAUCACUUAUCGUGAUGGGAGACAGUGUCAGAUGGGCAGUUUGACUGGGGCGGUCGCCUCCUAAAGAGUAACGGAGGCGCUCAAAGGUUCCCUCAGAAUGGUUGGAAAUCAUUCGCAGAGUGCAAAGGCAUAAGGGAGCUUGACUGCGAGACCUACAAGUCGAGCAGGGUCGAAAGACGGACUUAGUGAUCCGGUGGUUCCGCAUGGAAGGGCCAUCGCUCAACGGAUAAAAGCUACCCUGGGGAUAACAGGCUUAUCUCCCCCAAGAGUCCACAUCGACGGGGAGGUUUGGCACCUCGAUGUCGGCUCGUCGCAUCCUGGGGCUGUAGUCGGUCCCAAGGGUUGGGCUGUUCGCCCAUUAAAGCGGCACGCGAGCUGGGUUCAGAACGUCGUGAGACAGUUCGGUCCCUAUCCGUCGCGGGCGCAGGAAAUUUGAGAGGAGCUGUCCUUAGUACGAGAGGACCGGGAUGGACACACCGCUGGUGUACCAGUUGUUCUGCCAAGAGCAUCGCUGGGUAGCUACGUGUGGACGGGAUAAACGCUGAAAGCAUCUAAGCGUGAAGCCCCCCUCAAGAUGAGAUUUCCCAUUCCUUCGGGAAGUAAGACCCCUGAGAGACGAUCAGGUAGAUAGGCUAGAAGUGGAAGUACAGUGAUGUAUGGAGCGGACUAGUACUAAUCGGUCGAGGACUUAACCAA
rnacentral:rRNA from 1 species